UUAACACAUGCAAGUCGAGGGGCAGCAUGGUCUUAGCUUGCUAAGACUGAUGGCGACCGGCGCACGGGUGAGUAACACGUAUCCAACCUGCCGUCUACUCUUGGACAGCCUUCUGGAAGGAAGAUUAAUACAAGAUGGCAUCAUGAGUCCGCAUGUUCACAUGAUUAAAGGUAUUCCGGUAGACGAUGGGGAUGCGUUCCAUUAGAUAGUAGGCGGGGUAACGGCCCACCUAGUCUUCGAUGGAUAGGGGUUCUGAGAGGAAGGUCCCCCACAUUGGAACUGAGACACGGUCCAAACUCCUACGGGAGGCAGCAGUGAGGAAUAUUGGUCAAUGGGCGAGAGCCUGAACCAGCCAAGUAGCGUGAAGGAUGACUGCCCUAUGGGUUGUAAACUUCUUUUAUAAAGGAAUAAAGUCGGGUAUGCAUACCCGUUUGCAUGUACUUUAUGAAUAAGGAUCGGCUAACUCCGUGCCAGCAGCCGCGGUAAUACGGAGGAUCCGAGCGUUAUCCGGAUUUAUUGGGUUUAAAGGGAGCGUAGAUGGAUGUUUAAGUCAGUUGUGAAAGUUUGCGGCUCAACCGUAAAAUUGCAGUUGAUACUGGAUAUCUUGAGUGCAGUUGAGGCAGGCGGAAUUCGUGGUGUAGCGGUGAAAUGCUUAGAUAUCACGAAGAACUCCGAUUGCGAAGGCAGCCUGCUAAGCUGCAACUGACAUUGAGGCUCGAAAGUGUGGGUAUCAAACAGGAUUAGAUACCCUGGUAGUCCACACGGUAAACGAUGAAUACUCGCUGUUUGCGAUAUACUGCAAGCGGCCAAGCGAAAGCGUUAAGUAUUCCACCUGGGGAGUACGCCGGCAACGGUGAAACUCGAAGGAAUUGACGGGGGCCCGCACAAGCGGAGGAACAUGUGGUUUAAUUCGAUGAUACGCGAGGAACCUUACCCGGGCUUAAAUUGCAGAUGAAUUACGGUGAAAGCCGUAAGCCGCAAGGCAUCUGUGAAGGUGCUGCAUGGUUGUCGUCAGCUCGUGCCGUGAGGUGUCGGCUUAAGUGCCAUAACGAGCGCAACCCUUGUUGUCAGUUACUAACAGGUUCCGCUGAGGACUCUGACAAGACUGCCAUCGUAAGAUGUGAGGAAGGUGGGGAUGACGUCAAAUCAGCACGGCCCUUACGUCCGGGGCUACACACGUGUUACAAUGGGGGGUACAGAGGGCCGCUACCACGCGAGUGGAUGCCAAUCCCCAAAACCUCUCUCAGUUCGGACUGGAGUCUGCAACCCGACUCCACGAAGCUGGAUUCGCUAGUAAUCGCGCAUCAGCCACGGCGCGGUGAAUACGUUCCCGGGCCUUGUACACACCGCCCGUCAAGCCAUGGGAGCCGGGGGUACCUGAAGUGCGUAACCGCGAGGAGCGCCCUAGGGUAAAACUGGUGACUGGGGCU
rnacentral:rRNA from 1 species